ACCCAGCUGCAAGCUAAUUAAAGUUGCGACAGAACGCAGCUAGUCGCCAGUAGUCCGCCAGCUCUGAACGGAGCAAUUUCCAGCUGGGAGUGUUUGCAAUCCUGGUACUGGGGUACUGGUACCCGAGAAUCAUACAAGUAAAACGGCUAAGAAAGCUGACAUAAACUGCAUAUACCCUUCUUCUGCACACAUCCACGAUUCCACAAGGCAAAUAUGUCCUGCAAUGAGAAAACAGCGCUUCUGGCAUCGCAACAAGGACAUCAGAAGCGGCAGCAACAGCACAUCAUUGUCGUGCCCGCGACGGAGAAGGACUCAAAGGAUUAUGAGCCCAUUUUCACAACUGCUGACUAUUCCUACGGUCUGACUCUCGAGGAGCUUCUGCCCUUCGCUCUGGAUCCCUGGUGGCAAACCGUGCGGCGCCUCAGCUGCGGGGUCCUGGGCCUGACUUUCCUGCUGACCCUGAUUGCUGGUCUGGUUAUGGCCUUUUCCGGCAGAGUCUGUCAGCCUAAUAGAGCAAUUAGUGAAAACGCGACCAUGACAACGAUGGCCACGCCACUAUCCUUGGCUCUCAACGGCUCGCAACUGCUGAUGGCCAGUUCCUAAUGGCCGCAAGGUAAUCUGCGUAGCAUUUUGGAGAUGCCGCAAUCCACCGGGCGCAAUUGCAUCAGUCGCAUCAGCUCGCACUACUGGCAUUUGUUUGGCCUGCCGGUACUGGAUCCGACCUAAUCCCCCAUAGCCUCUAGCCCAGUUUCUAGCUGAGUGAUAAGCGACGCACCGCAAAAUUGAUUGGUUGCGGAAUAAUUAUACUGAUUAAUUUAUUUGCUAUACAAUCCCGUACUCGUAAGCAUCCCCCCGUAAGCAUCAGUUAAUAGGAAGUGUUUCCGAUAAUUACACUAAGUACACAUACAUACGUCGGUUCCAUUACGGCGAAUUCCAUGGAGUUCGGAAACUUGAGCUGUAUAGUUGGAUAAUAAGCAUGCAGAUUCUAGGGACGCCUAAUUUGUGCAAUUAUAUUUUAUGUUUUAUGUU
rnacentral:misc_RNA from 1 species